AUGCUGCAGGCAGUAGGCAAGGUCAUCUCCGAAAAGUUAGCGCACCCAGACGCGAUCUGCCUCUCACUAGGCAGGGUUUGGUGCCCGAUUAAGGGGAUCAAGUGUAAGGAGAUCGGAGUAAAUCAGUUCCUCAUCACUUUUCAUCAAGAGUCUGGUAAGCGGAAGGCGAUCGAAGAUGGACCAUGGAUGUUUGAUAAAGAAGUUGUGGUGGUGGAGGACUAUGUACCGAGCAAGAGGCCAGAAGAUUAUGCCCAUAACAAUAUCCCAAUUUGGGUUAGGGUUUAUAACCUUCCUCUUGGCAUGAUGAACGUGGAAUCAGCAGAGGACAUCGGUAAUAUCAUUGGAGUGUUUGUGGAGGCGGACACGGGUGCGGAUGGAGUUGCAACCGGUAGAUUUUUGAGGGUGAAGAUAAGGAUGCAGAUUGACAGACCUAUUAUGAGAGGUUUCACGCUUGCUGGGGAGGAGGAAGGGGUAGACAAACAAGGCAAAGGGGGGGCUGCGAUGGAGAGUGGGGAAGAGGAAGAGGAUAGAGAUUGGUGUAGGCUGGAAUAUGAAUUUCUUCCUGAUUUCUGCUACUCAUGCGGGAUCAUCGGCCAUGUGGAGAAAGACUGCGAUAAGAAAGCUGUGAAGGGAGAAAGUCCACAGUUUGGAAGAUGGCUACGGGCGGAC
rnacentral:rRNA from 1 species